AAAGAGAAACAACAAAUUCACAGUCCUACUAAGUUCAUAAACAUAUAAACAUGAUGGAGCUCCAGCAUUAGCCCCACACUUUAAAAUUUGCAAUCACACAAUGGUCACCAAAUCUUUAUACACCAAAACAACACAAAAUAUAUUUCAUAGAACUUCACUAUUUUUGAAUCAUUUCAAAGAGAGACAAAAGUUCAAACCUCAAGAAACCUAGCCCAAAAAACAAGCAAACCAAAAUUUAAAAUUCCAACCAUGGCCUCAAUAGACUUGCUAGUUAACCAGGUGAAAACUAUAAAGUGACAUUAUCUAUAAAAACUUCAAACUGAUUUUAGAUCCGUAUAAAUUAAUUUCUGCAUUUUUGAACGAUUAUUUUCACAAUUCAUGCACUUCUGCAAGAUUAAUUUCAAAUUUUCUUUGCACUUCUGUAAGGUCAGUUUCAAAAUUUCUACAAGAUCAAUUUUAAAUUCCAGCACUUUGAAAAGAUCAGUUUCGAAAUUUUCAAUACUAGUAGAGAUAAUGAUGUAGGAGGAGGAAUAGGGAGAAGUACGAAGAGAGAAGAGAAAGAAAAAUACAAAAAAGAAGGUGGAGAGAGAGAGAGAGAGAGAGAGAGAGAGAGAGAUGGGUAGAAAGCAGAAGGAUGAGAGAGAGAGAGACAGAAAUGGGUAGAAAGCAGAAGGAUGAGAGACAGAAAUGGACCAAGAAGAAAAAACAAGGACAUAAAACUAAAAUUUAUAAAUAAGAAUAGGAAAGAACUUGGCUGCUGAAUUUUUGGCAGCCAAGUAGUGUUCAUAAGAAUAUAAAGACUUUACAGCAAAAUUGUGAAUCGGAAAGCAAUUAAAAAAUAAUCUUGAUAUCACAUGUCACGCGAAUAAGUUUAAUCUCUCUCAAAUAAAUAAUAAAACUUAGUCUCUCUCAAAAAAUAUAAUGUAAUCUUUUAUCACAAAAUAAAGUCAUGACAAUGAUGUAAUUUUGAAUAAACGAAAUUUUUACGUUUUCUUUUUUUCCUUCACCCACCCACAUUAACCUAACAUAUCUCUAAAUUUUUAGGGAAUUGUUAUUAGCAUUCUAAAAAUCUUAUUUUGCAUUUUAAAUUUUUUAUAAUUAGAAAGAAAAUUACACAUGUGAGGAAUGUAGAAUGAGAUUUUUAGAAUGCUAAAAUUCGAUCUGCAGAGGACUCUGUUAGGGUUUUGGUCUGUUGAGAUCCGAGAUAUUUGAGGCUGCGAUUUCGAAUAUUGGAGCAUCGAGUUCAGAGGUUUGAGACCUGCGAUUUUGAAUAUUGGAGGCUACGAUUUCAUAAUUUUGAGGCUGCGAUUUCUGGUUGUUAAUACAUUGAAAACUAAUGUUGUAUUACUGAGAAGAGCAUAUGUUGGAGAAGCUUUUCUCCAUUUCUGGCAUUUGACUUUAUCUUGUAGACACGACUUUCCAUUGAUUUCAUUAGCCUUAUGAUAUUUCCAUUUUUUAUUGAUGAUAUUUUUAGACUUUAGGUAAGAGAAAAGCAAGUGUAAGUGAUAGAAUGGAAGAUAUUAGUCUUUGAUUUGAAGUUGUGAUUAGUAGAUUUUUGUUACAGCCGCUAGUUGUUAC